CUCUGCUGUCACGAACUGUAUUCUCUUCACGGCGUUGAUGUACAAGGACAACAUCUGCUAUGCUAGACAGUUCUUCCUAAAGCUCCGCUUCAUCGUCGAUAAGGGCGGUUUGUGCAGCAAGUGACACGGGUUACUACAUCAACGAAAAUGAAUAAAUAUAAAAAUGCCAAACGGAGAUGUGAUCCAAGAUGGUGAGACUAGCUACUUUGAUAAGGCAUUUCAGAGACGUGCCAGGUUCUGCAACUAAAGACAUUUUUUACAUGGAACACGUGAAACGUGCGAUUCUUCUAGUACAAGAACGGACGGGCGGAGGAAGAGCAUUCUUCCGUGAAAGCCGGAAGGGAACGCACCGGAACUCGCCGAGGAAGUUUACCAGGCAGCCGGAAAGAAGGGACUAAUUUUAGACACCUUCUUCCAAUCUCUUCAACCAUGGAAAUAUCGCAGUCUGGAAACGUACAUGCAUCAUUUCAUCUGCGCACAUUAAGAACGUGCCGUCCAUGUUGAGUCCCCUCCAUCCAAAACCCGGUUUCCUGGGGUGCGAGCUGGCUCGACUGCGCGCUGUUCUCCGGCGGAGAAGAGAGAGAUUGGCGUCCAGUUGCUAGGCGACGCAGCCGCCCCGGACACAAGAUGGCGGGCUCGCUCGCCGGUGUGGUUCAGUGUCACUACUCUGCUCACUAUUUAGUGACUCGAGUAGACGACACGCAAAGAGAGAGAAAGGCCGACAGGAAUGCGCAAAUAUGUUCUUACUGGUUACAACCGCUCAAACCGCCGACGUUUUCAAGGGUUGCUACUCUUCAAAACAGGUCCAACAAUAAUUAGUAACUUGCCUCAAAUGCGUAACGUACUACCUCAAAAUCACGUGAUACCUGUCCACCAAUCCGGAGCGGGUUUCCCACUGUUUUCCAAAGCGAACGUAAGGGCACCGCCGUCCACUUUCUAGAAGCGUUCAAAAAGAAUUUGUACGGAAAGUAUACGAAGAACCAGAGCGUCGAACCGAAACGGUUUUCGGUUUGUUCCGGGUUCGGGUUCGGCCAUAAAGGUUCGGUUCCGGAGUUCACAUCUAUCGGUUCGAUUAACCGUUUCUUAGGAUGUAAACCGGUUCGGAACCGGUUCGAGGUUCUAACCUGCUCCAAAGUUAUAGGUAGCCACUAAAAAUGAUAGAAGAUCUCUUAGUUACGUCUUUAUGCAUUUAUUUCUGUUUUGCGACCAACAGGACCGCCUUUCAUUCCUUCCCCGAGCAACGUGCUGCCGAUCUCAGCAGGCAGAGCGCUCGAAUCCUCACAUUACCCUCCACCACAUCACCAACCCGAACCGAUCCGGUAACCGAAGUUUUUAGAUCGGUUCGGUUCCGGUUCGGCCCCAAGCUGGCGGUAGUAAUUUCGGUUCAGUUCCGGUUCAGUUCCAGCUAAAAAUUACGGUUAAUUCCGGUUUUCGGUUUCGGUUCCGGUUCUGUUCGACGCUCUGCGAAGAACUGAGAGGAGAUGACUUGUGUAUGUCAUCCCAAAGCCAGGUUCUACCUGGUGGUAUAUCUUAAAACGUUUUGGUACAUAUUUCAGUUUACAGACUCGUUUAUAAUCUCUCUCUCCCUCUCCGUGUGAGUUUUCUGUAUCUACGGCGUUGGCACUAUCAGUUUUUUUUGUUUUUUUUUCCUUUCCCUGCACAGCCUGGCGAAAUUAAGUGCCGUUCUGAUAAGACGCCUAAUAGCCACUCCCAUGCACCUGGAGUUUCUGUACGUUUCGCAUGGGAAAAGUAGCUCAUUCGCUUAUCAGGAAGAGAUAAGAACAGUAUCAAGUAUGUGCAUGAAGUUGUGUAAACAAAAACUUGGUUCAUUAGGACUCUUUAUGACUCCUGAUGACUCGUUCAACAUUUAGCACUUUGUGACUUGCUGUCUCUGUGUUGAUUGAUUGACUGACUGAUUGAGAUAUAUAAAUGUGUGUUGUGUUCGUGA